rnacentral:rRNA from 1 species
CAAUAGCGUAUAUUAAAGUUGUUGCAGUUAAAAGCUCGUAGUUGGAUUUCUGGGAGGGUGACUUUGUCCGCCAAAGCGCGUGUGCAGCGGCGCCCUUCCAUCCUUCUGUUAACGCCUCUUGGCAUUCACUUGCUGGUGGCGGGCUCAGAUAUUUUACCUUGAGAAAAUUAGAGUGUUUCAGGCAGGCUAGGCCGGAAUACAUUAGCAUGGAAUAAUGGAAUAGGACUAUGGUCUCUUUGUUGGUUUGAGGGACUGCAGUAAUGAUUAAUAGGGAUAGUUGGGGGCGAUUAGUAUUUAAUUGUCAGAGGUGGAAUUCUCAGAUUUGUUAAAGACUAACUUAUGCGAAAGACAUUUGUCCAAGGAAUGUUUUCUAUUAAUCAAGAACGAAAGUUAGGGGAGUCAAAG